AAUUCAAAUCGCCCUCUUUGAAUUACAGAGUAACGGCUUCUUCUUCGUUUUCUUGAAGAAGAGUUGAUAAGGAUUUAAUUUUUCGAUCGUUUUACAUUACAAGGAGGAUAUGAUGGCGACCCAGAAUAGGUGUUCCUCUGUUUCGAGUGCGGCGGUAAAGAGACAAGCAAUUCAUCGGGGUUGGAGAAUAAUCAGAUAAGAGAAUUGAAUGCUGGAGCUUCCAUAAUCAGACAGAUCUCGAAUCAUACAGCUAUCUCUGCUCGCAACUCGAUUUCUAAUUCCUCCAAACUUGAAGGUCUUGUGAUUGCAUACCGGCUGCUGGAGUUAUCAUCAACCUGGACCCUUGAAGUUUCCUCCUAUCGGGUUGGGAAAAUAUCGUCGUAUAAUUCUGAAGCAAAUAGAGUUUUACUGAUGCCAGUAGCUGAAUUUCCAGUCAUUUGUACUGAGGAUGAGUCUUCAAAGCAACCAGAUAGCUCUAUUUAUAAUGAAGACGGAUCGACGGAGAUAGAAUUUUCAGC